rnacentral:rRNA from 1 species
UACGUAGGGUGCAAGCGUUAAUCGGAAUUACUGGGCGUAAAGGGCGCGUAGGCGGCCUUGUCAGUCAGGCGUGAAAGCCCCGGGCUCAACCUGGGAACGGCGCUUGGGACGGCGAGGCUGGAGUUCGGGAGAGGGGAGUGGAAUUCCCAGUGUAGAGGUGAAAUUCGUAGAUAUUGGGAAGAACACCGGUGGCGAAGGCGGCUCUCUGGACCGACACUGACGCUGAGGCGCGAAAGCGUGGGGAGCAAACAGG